rnacentral:sRNA from 1 species
AUGGGGAUAAAGAGAAAACCGCGUUUGCAACACCAAGAGGAGGGUCUAUAUCAAUUUGUGACUAUGCCGUUCGGUCUUUGUAAUGCGGCCGGAACGUUCGAGCGAAUUAUUGAGAAAGCGUUAAGUGGACUACAAUGGCAUAUUGCCGUUUUGUAUCUAGACGACAUUGUAGUUUUUGGAAAAACGUUUGACGAGCAUUUUGAUAAUUUAGAAAAAGUACUCGACAAACUAAUGUUAGCCGGAUUAAAAUUGAAACCUAAAAAAUGCACUUUUCUUCAGAAAGAAAUCACAUUUUUAGGUCACGUGGUAUCAAAAUCCGGGGUGAGAACAGAUCCGGCCAAAUUAGAUGCGGUAAAUAAAAUACCAGCUUCCAACAACAAUUACAGAGGUACGAAGUUUCCUCGGCCUGACCUCGUACUACCGUAAGUUUGUAAGAAGUUAUUCGAAAAUCGCAAAACCUCUGUUUGAUCUCACUAAGAAGGGACAUUGCUGGAAGUGGACAACGGAUUGUGAAUCAGCGUUUCAAGAGCUUAAAAAACGGUUGACUUCAGCACCUAUAUUAGCAUACCCGCAAGUAAAUGGAGCUGAAUUCAUACUGGAUACCGACGCCAGUAAUUUUGCUAUUGGCGCGGUAUUGUCACAAGUACAAGAUGGAACGGAGAGAGUUAUUGCCUACGGAAGUAGAUCGUUAGAUAAACCGGAACGCAAUUAUUGUGUGACCCGGAGAGAAAUGCUAGCUGUAGUAUUUUUUACCCGACAUUUUAAACAUUACUUAUUGGGUAGACGUUUUACUUUGCGUACCGAUCAUGGAUCGCUUACAUGGUUACAAAAUUUCAAAGAACCAGAUGGGCAGAUUCAUCGUUGGAUCCAACAGUUGAGUCAAUUCCACAUGAAGAUUGUCCAUAGACCUGGUGUCCGUCAUGGUAAUGCCGAUGCUUUAUCUCGCAUUAUCACGUCGACAUCCGAUAUUUGCAAACAAUGCAAAAUGCCCUGGGAUUAUGAAUACCAGGGACCUGAAGAAGUAGAAAUAAUUGAGAUGCAGGAAGGAGACGGAGUAAAAUUGAUGAAUAAAGUUUUGGAAGGUCAGUCUAUAGGUGGAGUUACUAAUAAAAGUCCUGAAAGUCCCACAAUGUCAUCAAAUAAUUCUGGAGACAUGGAUGGGCAACUAGAUUGUAGUAUUCCAGGAGAAAUACCUAUUGUAAGGAGGGGGAGAAAGCCCAAUCGGCCCCCGCCAGCCAGACGAAAACCACUCCCAAAAAUAGCAUUGGACAUAACAUCUAUGAGACAGCAACAAGAAGAGGAUGAUAUAAUGGGGGAAAUUUUAAAACUAAAAAUUGAAAAUGCGGAAAAACCUUCAACAACGGAAAUAAGUAGUAAGAGCAAAGAAUUCAAAUUUUGGAUAUCAAGAUGGGAGUUGUUGGAAGUUAAAAAUGAUGUCCUGUGUUUGUAUUGGGUUGAAAAGAACAACUGUGCAAAAUGGCGUGUGUGCGCACCAAAGUCCGCAGUUAGUGGUAUACUUUGGUACUUACAUGACGCUAGAACCUCAGGUCAUUUAGGGAUAAAGAAAACAGUUGAGCGAGCCCAUAUAUGUCCGUUUUAUUGGUGGAGUAUGCAAAGAUCGGUGAAAGAGUAUGUUCAUAACUGUGAAAUAUGCGAAGAGCGGAAAAAUCCAGCGCACAAGAAGAGGCACGCUCUGAAAACACACUUAGUCGGUGCUCCCUUCGAGAGAAUAGCUACGGAUAUCGCUGGCCCGUUUCCAUUGUCUGACAACAAAAACCGUUAUGUGCUCGUAGUAGGGGACUAUUUUACUAAGCUUACAGAAGCAUACCCGAUGCCAGAUAUGCAGGCGGAAACAGUUGCCGACAUUAUUUUUAGAGCAUGGGUUAAAAGAUACGGCUGUCCUAUUGAAUUACACUCCGACCAGGGCAGACAAUACGAAAGUACUCUUUUUCAAAACAUGUGUGAGUUACUUGAAAUAAAGAAAACCAGAACAACUCCAUUGCAUCCUCGUUCUGAUGGGAUGAUAGAACGUAUGAACCGAACGAUUCAGGACAUAUUAUCAAAGUACAUCAAGUCCCACCAGAGAGAUUGGGAUCAACACUUAGAUUUUCUUACCAUGGCCUAUAAUUCAACACCUCAUGAAAGUACAGGUUUAACACCACACCGUUUGGUAUACGGACAGGAAAUGAAAUUCCCCUUGGAUAUUAUUUCUGAAAGAAUUGAGCAAGACGAACCCCAGUCUGAGUUUGCAUCUGAUUACGCCAAUAAAUUAGAAGAAAGGUUGCGGGAGGCACAUGAAAUAGCGAGAGAGCAUUUAAAAGUGUCAUCAGAGCGACAGAAAUUUCAAUACGACGGAAAUGUUAAAGAAAAAAUAUAUUCUGACGGACAGUUAGUGUGGAGAAAUCAAAAACAAAAUACUCCAGGAAAGAAAGCCAAGAUUUGUAGGAAUUGGACCGGGCCGUGGGUGAUUAUAAAAAAAUUAAGCGACGUUUUGUACAGAAUUCAACAUGCUAAAAAUUCGCCCCCUGUUGUGGUUCAUGGAGACAAUUUAAAACCGUAUCGGGGAUCAAAGAAACUUAAAUGGUUUAAACCAGGAGUAAUUAAUGAAAAUGUAACAGUAAGUUUUCCAGAUGUCGAUAAUUUCCUGCAAUCGGAAGAUUUUGAAAAGGACAGUGAAAAUGCGGAAGAAUUUGCCAAUGACCUACCCAAAGAAUUGCCGGAUGAAAGUAUUAUUCCGAACCACCAAAACGAAGAUAAAUGUAUUGAAAAUUUACCAGCUGUUUCGAAAAGUCCGCAAAAGCCCGAAAAAGAAGCCCGAGGGAAUUCCAGAAUUAUUCUGGGCAAAAGCCCGGAGGCCCGGAAAACAAAAGCCCAGUUUCCGCAUCUGAAAUUAAUUAGCAUCUCACCGGAUGUCGCGCCUGCGCAAGAAAAUCAAAACAGUGGGAAAGAUAAACAUUACACCACGAGGAAAGGACGCCAAGUUAAAAUACCAGAAAAGUUUAAGGAUUUUAUUGCAAAUUAUAUAAUGUCAAGUGCAAAACUUUUUGAUUGUGUCGAUUGUGGGAAGGAAUACGUUAGCCCUAGAAACCUAAAGAGACAUAGGAAUCAAAAACAUUCAGAAUAUGUGCAGUGUCGGUGUUGUCCAUAUGAAGACUGCACAAAAAUGUACUGCAGAAUUGAGUACAUGACGUACCAUCUAGAGGCAAGACAUAAACUUUCUAGUGAACAAGCCAAGAUUAAAUCAAAGAGCUGCCCCUUAGUCCGAAAGAGCCGCACGGAAUUCGAAGGAUCGCGACAUGGUUCCGUUUUACAUGCUAUACCAGACUCGCCACCAGACUCGCCACCAGAGGCACAGAUUGAACCUGUUGAACCAGAAAACCAAUACCAGGGUCCAGAUGUUUUGGAUAUAUUAGUAAGAAGUUGUGAAUAUGACAACCUAGAAGACCUAAUAGGUGAGGUGUCUGAAAUUCGAGAUUUUGAUUUUCAACCUGAAGAAAAUAAAUUUAAUUUGGAAGGUUUUUUUGAUGACAAUUGUAAUCCAAGUGAUAUAAACAUUAAUGUGUCAGAUGAUGAGUGUUGCGACAAUAAUAUGAACACACCAACAUACUGUGUUCCAGACAAUAUCCAGGAAAACAACCAUUUUAAUAACAUGUAUGAGAAUAUAUCCUCACCUGAAAAUAUGGAUGAAUAUAUAUGUAACAAUAACACGAAUGAUGACCAGAUGGAGGAUUUAGUGUAUGUAUCCGAUGACAAUGUGUCAGAUUGUGGAAGCCAAAAAUCCACAAGUAGUAAUUCAACAAAUACAUGUACUGAGGAUGAAAUUGUUGAAUCCGUAGAGAUAAUUUCUGUUUCCCUAAUUAAAACAGUCACCGAGGUAGCCGGGGUUAAACAGACAAGAACCGAGCAGAAGUUUUCUUUCACUGGGUGUGCUGAACCGUCAGACAUUGAUUGGAAUGACUUUUUCCGGUAUAUGCAAGACCAAAUACAUGAACAUUCGAUUAGCCAAAAUAGAAGAACAACCGUGCCAAAGCCAGAUGUAGAAGAGCUAUAAUUAAAAAAACACUUCAAAUUUAACUUUUGUAAACUAUUUUCUUUUGAUUUUGUUGUCUUAAAAUUUGUUAGGAAUAUUUGUUAAUAUGCUUUCACGACUGAUACAUGUAUUUCUAUGUUAAGUAGGUGAGUGAGAGUUAGUUGUGCUAAACCUGGUGCGUAUUGUUGAAUUCCUGUCCAUAAUGUGCUUAUAAAUUAAAAGGGUGCUAAAGAACUUAUUGUUCAAGACCAAUCGGUCAAUUCAUGUUUAUAUCAUGGUCAUUACUAUCGAUUCACUUGUUUGAAUUAUUUUUUUUUUAAUCAUGUAUGUUGAUAUUUUUUUUUAUAUAUAUGCAGUCUAGUACAUUUUUGGUAUUAUGACUUUGUUUUAUAGGUACAUGUAUUUACAUGUAUGCCCCAAUUUUUUUUUAACAUGUUUUUGUUAUUAUAAUUAUACUGAACAGUGGAAGUUCAGUUUUUCAAAAGGGGAGGGCUAUGUAAUGAAAAUUGAUAGGGUAUGUAAACUUGGUGUUUUAGGACCCUCAUAUUCAGGGCCGACCAUCUAUGACUUAGUAUUACAUGGUGCUUUAUGGUCCUAAAUUAUGGAGCCUGUAAGCCCUAAUUAUACACGGUACACGGUAGCCCUAAUAUGUAUGGAGUCCAUAAGCCCUGGUGCAUAUAAGCCUGAUUGCCCAUAAGCCCGGUUGCCCAUAAGCCCAGAAACUCUGGUGCCCAUAAGCCC